UUGAGAUCCUCAGAGAAUUAAAUCUGCUGCUUGUCUACAGAAUAGAUAAUGGCAGGGCACGCUUCCCACAUCACUGCCUCCUGCCAAUGCGGCUCCGUCCUGACCUGGCUACCAUUCAUGGCUGGACAGAGUAGAGUUCAUUCUCUGUAUCCCAUUCAUAGUUGCU
rnacentral:sRNA from 1 species